CCCCCUGCAACCUCAUUGUCUUGUGAUUGAUGAAGGCCCCCCGUGCGGUGUUUGUUCAGCUGUCUGGACCCCCCCCCCCCACCCGGGGCUGGCUGCGCGUCUGUCCCUGUGCAUCUGUCCAUCUCAGAGAGGACGAAACCUAAGGAGCAAGAGUGGGGGCCCCGAGGCAGAGUGGAAACCCACCGGGGUUUGGAGCCGCGCCCUCCUCGCUCUGCUUUGCCGGGGAUGACUCAUCCCGGGAAGUGGACAGUCCAGACCAAGGCUUUGAUCCUCUGCUGGCUACAGGCGGCGUAGCCCCCAGACCGUGGUGUUCAUCCAGGACAGCUCCCCUUGGGGCCCAAGGAGGGCAGUUUGGGGGGUCAGGGCUGACCGUGAGCCACCGGCUGAGCUGUGGGGACCCAGGACUGGGAAGACAGCACCCUGCCCCCUUCUCCUCCAUGGCCUGACUCAGAGAUGGCCCCACCACCCACCCACCGCCCCUACUUUGCUCUCCUCCCUCACCCCUUUUUGUCCAACAAGCCCUCCCUUUAAGUCUUUUCCGUCAGUCCACUCAGCCCUUCUGUCUGCCUCCCCAGCCCAGCCCCCCAUCAUCUCUUGCCUGCACGUCCAACCUGCCUCACUGCUCUUACCCUUGCCCCUGUGGUCCCUUCUGCUCAGGGCAGCCAGAAUGAUCUUUCUGGAAGUGCUUCUGAAUGUGUCCCCCCUCGGCCUAAAACCGGCUGUGGCUUCCCAUUACCCUCAGUACGACCUUGCAACUAACACAAACCCAGGAUGGCGCGGACCCGCGGCGACCUCUGUCCCUCCCUCCCUCCGUGCUACUUCCUGUAGAUCUCUGCUUGUGAAACUGAGGAUUUUUCAGUUGUUCUAAUUAGUCCUGUUUUACUCUCACCCCCUGGACCUUUGCACCUGCCACCGUGCCCUUCGCCGGGAGCAACGCCACAGCUUCUGCCUGGCUGACUCGGAUUCAAGCGUUGGGUCUCAGUUGACAGAUGAGGAAACUGAGACUCUGCAGGGCACAGUGACUUGCCCAAGGUCCUUCAGCCAUGCCAGAGCUGGGACGGGAACCCGGGAUUGCGGCUGCACAUGUCACCGAUUACCACCGGGCCGGUGGCGGGUGCUUCUCCCAGACUCAGCAGGCCUGGGUUCUUCGUCCGCGCAAUGGACCUCCCGAGAGCCCGGACUCCUUCUCAGGGGGGUUGUGAAACCAGCAUGCUGCAGGUUAGGGCAGGGACAGGUGCGGGUUCCAGAAGAGGAGGGUCAAAGAGGGGCAGUGAUGUGGCCGUGGUCACAGAGCAUGGCGGGGGGGGGGGGGGGUGAUUCGUAUCAGCCUCUGAACCCAAGGCAAGUGGCAUCCGGUGAGAUUUUCUCCAUUAAGCUCCGCUGUGAGCCUUGGUGGCAGCAAGGGCACCAGGCACUGGUCUGCAGCCUGGCCUGGCCCCGUGGGAAGAGCACUGGGCAGGGAGUCCAAGUCAGGCUCUGGCAUGGCCUCUCUGUGCCCCUGGCCCAUCGUGCCCCUCUCUGCCCUGGAUGGGCCACCCAUGGUUUGCUUGGGAUGGAGGCAAUCAACGUGAUAUUACUGAAUCCCCAUAACCAUCCCGCGAGGCUGCCUGUCUUAUUAUUUCACUGUUCUCCACAAGGCCGGGAGACGUGAGGUGACCCACCCAAGGUCACUCAGCCGGGGAGUGGCAGGGCAGGAAUCUGGUUUUUCAAUUUACGGACAUACAGUCGGUGCACGCAUUUGCAUCGCAGAAUGUGACGGGUGUUGGCAUCUAUAUGCACCCACAAGACGGUGAGCAUAGCCGCCAUCCUCCAAAAGUUUUCUUGCGUCCCUUCGUGGGACCUCCUGGCCCCCGAUGUCCCAAGGCCACCACCGAGCUGCUUUCCGUCGACAGGUUAGUUUGCGUUUUCUAGAAUGUUCUAUAAAUGGAACCAUCCAGUAUGCAUUCUUUGUUGCCUGGCUGCUCUCCCCCGGCGUCGUGACCUUGAGAUUCCUCCACGUUGUUGGGCGUAUCGAGAGUUCAUUUCUUCUUACUGCUCAGAGGCGUUCUAUGUGUGGAUGUACCACAAACUUUCGAGCCGGGUGCCUGUUGAUGGGUUGUUUCCAAUUUUGCCUGUCACAAACAAAGCUCCUCUGAAGACUCAUGCAUAAAUCUUUGCAUGAACCCAAGUUUCCACUGCGCUGGGAUAAAUGCCUAGAGGGAGCGGCCAGGUCCCAAGAUCUGACCUUUUCCAUUUGCACUUUGUGCCUGAAACCAAAGCCAACUGCUUGGCCUCUUCUCUGCCCCCACCCCCUGGAAACUGAACAGACUAGGUAUUCAGACUGCUGCAGGGAGACAUAGCCCACUCAGGUAGUGACCGACUCUGCCAGCCACGUGAGGGCCGACUGUGGCCGCUAUGGACCCAACACCGGAUGGAGGGAUUCGGUCCAGGCGGCCUGGCCCUGGCCACGGCGAGGCACCUGCAGAGGCAAGAGGUGAAGAAAUAGGCAAAGAAAAGAGCCCUUCCUAGAAACGGUCUUCCUCCUAGUCCGUGACUGAGAUUGAGCUCAAACAUGUAUUAAGCUCCUUCUGUUUGCCUGGAUCCUUACUCUCCGCGAGUCGACCAUUUUUUCUCCAACUGAACUGGAAGCAGACUUCGAGCCAGGACUGUCUAUUUCCUCCCAAAUACCCUUCCUCUUGCUACAAAAGUAAGACACGCUUAUUACAGAUAUUCGAGAAAAUGCAGAUGGGCUCAGUGAAGAAAAUAAAACCACUUUUAGUCCAUCACCUGAAGAUGACCACUUAAAAAAAAAUUUUUUUUAAGAUUUUAUUUUUUAUUUAUUUUUUUAUUUAAAAAAUUUUUUUCAAACAUUUAUUUAUUUUUGAGAGAGAGAGAGAGGGAUAAGAGUGCAAGCGGGGAAGAGGGAGACACAGAAUCCAAAGCUGGCUCCAGGCUCUGAGCCAUCAGCACAGAGCCCAAUGCGGGGCUCGAACUCACGAACCGUGAGAUCAUGGCCUGAGCUGAAGUCGGAUGCCCAACCCACUGAGCCACCCAGGCGCCCCUAAAGACUUUACUUUUUUAAGUCAUCUCUACACCCAACAUGGAGCUUGAACUCAUGAACCCAAGGUCAAGAGUUGCACGCUCUUCCACCUGAGCCGGCCAGCCACCCCUGAAGACGACCACCUUUGACAUUUGGAGGAGUCGGAUCCCCUCCUGGGUCUCCACACCCAACAUCUUUGCUUAGACUCGCACAUGCAAUUGACAUGUAAGAACUUUUGUGUCCGAUCACUUACCUGUUUAUUCACUCUUCAUUAAUUCCAAAAGUAUCCAUCCAACUCUCAGUGGUUGUCAAUUUCGUGGUAUUUUACAUUCUUAGAAGGCGGAAGGAGAGGUACAAAAACCUAAGAUACUCAGGUACUGACCAUGAAUUGUACUCAGCGGCCAAACCUUCCUCAGCCCCUUCUCCAGGUAAGCGGUCAAGGACUCGAAUCCAGCUCCUGGCCGGGUCCCUCACCAGCUGUGUGGCCUUUGGCAAGCCACCGACCCCAUGCUACCCAAAGUGUGGUCCACACUUGGCCAGGUCCACUUUGGCUGCUGUCGACGUGCGCAUCCCGUUGUGAUUGGAUACAUUACAAUAGUACUGUUCCCGGCAGAUUGGAAAAUUUUCUCUAAACCUUCCUCCACCACAGAUAGUUUGAGAAGCACAGAGGUAACCCACUCUGUGCCUCAGUUUCCUCAGCAGUAGGAUGGGAACAAUGGUGGCCCUUGACCUUAGCCGGUCCCUGGGAAGGGUAAGCGAGCCACUGAUGGAAGGCUCUCAGGACCGUAGCUGGGCACUGACACCUCUCCUUAAUGUCAACGUCACUAGUAUUUUUGUAUAUUUCCGGUAUUCUGCCUUAAAAACAUCCAAUUUUCUGAGGGCGGCGGAAGGAGGCUUGGAAAGAGGAGUGGACCUCGAUUAAUGCAUCCUACCCUACCCCCUAAUUUCCCGAAGGAACCACGGGGCACUGUAUUCAUCUAUUUCCCAAAUAUCUAGAGACCACUUACAGGGUGAAGCAGGAGAGCCCAGUACGCACACAGCACCCUGGCGAGACAGCGCUGGGUUCAAACCCCUGCUCUGCUCCUUACUAGCCGAGCGGCCUCGGGCAAGUCACUUAACCACUCUGAGCCACAGCAUUCCCGUGUGAGGGCCCAGAGGGGUCAGCCCAGGCUGGGCCCUGGCAGACGAUCCCCACACGCCUGUAGACAGCAUGGGGACGAAGGCUGCUCCCCAUGUCUGUGCUCAAAUGUGACCGUUGUGGUGACCUCCUGGGCGCCUUGCCCUCCGUGAGUCUUUGUGGACUGAAAGAAUAGUUGCUGUGUUGAGAUGCCAAACUUGCCCGGUAUCUCUUCUAGAAAAUGGACGGAUUUAAGGACGGGGAACAUUUGAAAAUGGAGGGAUGUGGAAAUACAAAAGGUUUCAGGAUGAGUAGAAGCGUUGCCAAUUAGACCUGUGUUGUCUGCAGCAGGGAAGCUCCCCCCCUCACGCCCUCUCCAGAGCAUGCUGCUCUCUGCGGAGGGGGGCCUAGGCCGGGCUGAGUCACGUGACGCCUCUGGAAAGCUUCUCGAAACA